GAUGAACGCUAGCGGCAGGCUUAACACAUGCAAGUCGAGGGGUAACAGGGAAGCUUGCUUCCGCUGACGACCGGCGCACGGGUGCGUAACGCGUAUACAAUCUACCUUUUACAGAGAGAUACCCCAGAGAAAUUUGGAAUAAUACCUCAUAAUAUUGUUAUUUGGCAUCAAGUGACAAUUAAAGUUUCGGCGGUAAGAGAUGAGUAUGCGUCCUAUUAGCUAGUUGGUAAGGUAACGGCUUACCAAGGCGACGAUAGGUAGGGGUCCUGAGAGGGAGAUCCCCCACACUGGUACUGAGACACGGACCAGACUCCUACGGGAGGCAGCAGUGAGGAAUAUUGGUCAAUGGGCGAAAGCCUGAACCAGCCAUGCCGCGUGCAGGAAGACUGCCCUAUGGGUUGUAAACUGCUUUUAUACAGGAAGAAACACUCCCUCGUGAGGGAGCUUGACGGUACUGUAUGAAUAAGCACCGGCUAACUCCGUG
rnacentral:rRNA from 1 species